UACGUAGGCAGCGAGCGUUGUUCGGAAUUACUGGGCGUAAAGGGUGCGUAGGCGGUCCGCUAAGUUGGAUGUGAAAACUCUGGGCUUAACCCAGAGCCUGCAUUCAAAACUGACGGGCUAGAGUUCUGGAGGGGGUAGCGGAAUUCCUGGUGUAGCGGUGAAAUGCGUAGAUAUCAGGAGGAACACCGGUGGCGAAGGCGGCUACCUGGACAGAAACUGACGCUGAGGCACGAAAGCUAGGGGAGCAAACAGG
rnacentral:rRNA from 1 species